UCUGGUCAGUGGCGAACGGCUGAGUAACACGUAGGUGACCUGCCCGAAGUGGGGGAUAACACCUCGAAAGAGGUGCUAAUACCGCAUGUGACCACCGGUCCAUUCCGGUGCUCAAAGUCGCAAGACGCUUUGGGAGGGNCCUGCGGCCGAUUAGCUAGUUGGUGGGGUAACGGCUUACCAAGGCUUCGAUCGGUAGCUGGUCUGAGAGGAUGGCCAGCCAGACUGGGACUGAGACACGGCCCAGACUCCUACGGGAGGCAGCAGUUAGGAAUUUUGCGCAAUGGGGGAAACCCUGACGCAGCCACGCCGCGUGCGGGAUGAAGGCCUUCGGGUCGUAAACCGCUUUUCUCGGGGAAGACACCCGACGGUACUCGAGGAAUAAGCAACGGCUAACUACGUGCCAGCAGCCGCGGUAAUACGUAGGUUGCGAGCGUUGUCCGGAUUUACUGGGCGUAAAGCGCGCGCAGGCGGUCCCGAAAGUCGAAGGUGAAAGCUCCCGGCCCAACUGGAAGAGGCCCUUCGAAACUUCGGGACUUGAAGGCGGGAGAGGCAAAUGGAAUUUCCGGUGUAGCGGUAAAAUGCGUAGAUACCGGAAGGAACACCAGUGGCGAAAGCGAUUUGCUGGCCCGCCCUUGACGCUAAGGCGCGGAAGCUAGGGUAGCGACCGGGAUUAGAUACCCCGUUAGUCCUAGCCGUAAACGAUGGUCACUAGGUGUUGUCGGUAUCGACCCCGGCAGUGCCGAAGCUAACGCAUUAAGUGACCCGCCUGGGGAGUACGACCGCAAGGUUAAAACUCAAAGGAAUUGACGGAAUCGA
rnacentral:rRNA from 1 species